CUGCUUCUCGCUGCAGCGAGAAACAUUUUGUUUUGGCAGCCAGAAACUCGUUGCAGCGAAAAUAAAUCUCGCUGUAGCGAGAAACUCUCAGGUUUUGAUGUAGUGCCUUCACUUUGAUGAAGAUUUUGACUCCUUUCCUAUUGAACUGGGAAAAGUGGUAAACAUCAAAGUUGUAGCCUUGCCUCUUAUCUUUCUAAUAGUUUAAAAGUUAGGUCAAUUGGACUUCUGUAGCAGGAGAUAUUCUAGAAAAAAUGAAACACAUGUAAACUGAUACUAUUUCUCACUGCAGCGAGAAUGAACUUCGCUGUAGCGAGAAACAUUCUGUCCUACAUGCUACCCUAUUUGGUUUUUGACAUAUUUUUCACCCAUUUAACUUCAUGGAUUGAUCAUGGAUUAUUGCAACACUAUGAGGUUGUUAAUUAAAGUUUGAAAUGAGGGGUUUUUAGUAAGAAAUUAAAUCAAUUGCAUUGUUUUUGAAACAAGUGCAUCAUGAUUUCCAAAUUCUUCCUAUUGAAUGCUUGUUCCCUUCUUAUGUUCACUCACUGAGUUUCGAACUCACGUUUUUAAAAUUCAUGUUUUUAGAUUUGGAGGCAGUUGGGACCUAGAUUGAGUCGCACACAUAUGCUCGUCUUCUUGGUAGGUACUAUGGCAUCUCAGUAGUUGUAUCUUCACCCAGAGUCACUCCCCUGACGGUCUCGAGUCUAUUACUUGUAAACAUGUAUAUGUAAUGUAAACUACUAAGAGUCAUGUUAUAAAUGAAGUAUGUAUAUGUUGGAUUGAUGAUGACAGUACUUUGAUAUAAUAUAAAUAUGAAUAUUUAGUUGUUAU
rnacentral:lncRNA from 1 species